rnacentral:rRNA from 1 species
AUUGAACGCUGGCGGCAGGCCUAACACAUGCAUGUCGGGCGCGCGGCGGACGGGUGAGUAAUGUAUGGGGCUCUGCCUGAUGGAGGGGGAUAACUAAUGGAAACGGUAGCUAAUACCGCAUACCCGCAGCUGAACCCAUCUGGGAUCAGAUUGUGGGUGGGGUAACGGCUCCCCUGGGCGACGAUCCCUAGCUGGUCUGAGAGGAUGAUCAGCCACAUUGGGACUGAGACACGGCCCAGACUCCGACGGGAGGCAGCAGUGGGGAAUAUUGCACAAUGGGCGCAAGCCUUAUGCAGCCAUGCCGCGUGUAUGAAGAAGGCCUUCGGGUUGUAAAGUACUUUCAGUCGGGAGGCGUUACCGACAGAAGAAGCACCGGCUAACUCCGUGCCAGCAGCCGCGGUAAUAC